CAAAGAGUAACGGAGGCGCGCGAAGGUGGGCUCAGGCUGGUCGGAAAUCAGCUGUUGAGUGCAAUGGCAUAAGCCUGCCUGACUGCGAGACUGACAAGUCGAGCAGAGUCGAAAGACGGUCAUAGUGAUCCGGUGGUUCUGAGUGGAAGGGCCAUCGCUCAACGGAUAAAAGGUACUCCGGGGAUAACAGGCUGAUACCGCCCAAGAGUUCACAUCGACGGCGGUGUUUGGCACCUCGAUGUCGGCUCAUCACAUCCUGGGGCUGAAGCCGGUCCCAAGGGUAUGGCUGUUCGCCAUUUAAAGUGGUACGCGAGCUGGGUUUAGAACGUCGUGAGACAGUUCGGUCCCUAUCUGCCGUGGGCGUUGGAGAAUUGAGGGAAGCUGCUCCUAGUACGAGAGGACCGGAGUGGACGAACCUCUGGUGUUCCGGUUGUCACGCCAGUGGCAUUGCCGGGUAGCUACGUUCGGACGGGAUAACCGCUGAAAGCAUCUAAGCGGGAAGCCCCUCCCAAGACUAGUUCUCCCUGACCCCUUGAGGGUCCUAAAGAGCCGUCCAAGACUAGGACGUUGAUAGGCUGGGUGUGGAAGCGUUGUAAGGCGUUGAGCUAACCAGUACUAAUUGCUCGUGCGGCUUGACCAU
rnacentral:rRNA from 1 species